GAUGAACGCUGGCGGCGUGCCUAAUACAUGCAAGUCGAGCGAACGGACGAGAAGCUUGCUUCUCUGAUGUUAGCGGCGGACGGGUGAGUAACACGUGGAUAACCUACCUAUAAGACUGGGAUAACUUCGGGAAACCGGAGCUAAUACCGGAUGAUAUUUUGAACCGCAUGGUUCAAAAGUGAAAGACGGUCUUGCUGUCACUUAUAGAUGGAUCCGCGCUGCAUUAGCUAGUUGGUAAGGUAACGGCUUACCAAGGCAACGAUGCAUAGCCGACCUGAGAGGGUGAUCGGCCACACUGGAACUGAGACACGGUCCAGACUCCUACGGGAGGCAGCAGUAGGGAAUCUUCCGCAAUGGGCGAAAGCCUGACGGAGCAACGCCGCGUGAGUGAUGAAGGUCUUCGGAUCGUAAAACUCUGUUAUUAGGAAAGAACAUAUGUGUAAGUAACUGUGCACAUCUUGACGGUACCUAAUCAGAAAGCCACGGCUAACUACGUG
rnacentral:rRNA from 1 species